rnacentral:rRNA from 1 species
UACGUAGGGAGCAAGCGUUGUCCGGAAUCAUUGGGCGUAAAGCGCGCGUAGGUGGCCUCGUAAGUCCGCUGUGAAAGUCCAAGGCUCAACCUUGGAAAGCCGGUGGAUACUGUGAGGCUAGAGUACGGAAGAGGCGAGUGGAAUUCCUGGUGUAGCGGUGGAAUGCGCAGAUAUCAGGAGGAACACCAAUAGCGAAGGCAGCUCGCUGGGACGUUACUGACACUGAGGCGCGAAAGCGUGGGGAGCGAACAGG